GCGGUGGCAUGUGACGUGAUGAAGUGCAUUUUCAUUAUUAAGGUGGGAUUUGGUCUCCACAAGGACUCUGCUGUCAAUACUGCAGUGGACAUGGGCACCUGUGCCAGGUAGAUUGGUGAGAAUGAGAUCAGGAUCAGUGAAUAAGUAGUGCAAACCCUCGCGGGGAUGACAGUGGAACAGCAAUGGCAAGUGUUUCUGGGAAUAAUGCCGGAGGUGCAGGGUCAGUUCGUUCCAAAGAGUAAGAAAGAUCCUAAGUGGUGUGCAGAAGAGCAUCUCUGAACAUGCGGUACAUUGAACUUUGAAAUGGAUCAGCUACAGCAGCAGAAGCCCACAAGCACACAGAAAUACACACAGUGGCCACUUUAUUAGGUACCCCUUGUACUUAAUAAAGUGGCCACUGAAUGUAUAUGACACGUGACUGUCCACUGCCUUCUUGAUUCAUUUCUACUGUGAUUAUACUGUUGUAUGGUACAAGUUGUUCAUUGAAGCUUUAUGGAAUAUUGGUUGGAUCAAUAAAAUUAUAU